GUGGGUUCAGAGGGUCCUGUUGUCUUCUGGAAGGGUCUGAAGAUGUCCCAGAAGUGUCCUGGGUGUCCAAAGGGUGCUCAUGUGGGUCUGUGGAGCCAUCCAGAAAGUUUGGGGGUGUCCCAGAGAGGCCUUGGAGGGUACAGGGGGUCCUCCUGUUGAUCCAUGGGGUCCAUGGAUUCAUCCAGAAGGGUCUGGAGAUGUCCAAGAAGGUCCCUGUAGGGUGCAGGGGGUCCCCAGGUGUGUCCAGGGCAUCCUUGCAGUCAUCCAGAAGGGUCUGGGGAUGUCCCAGGACUGUCUUGGAGUGUCCAGGGAGUGUUCAUGUGGGUCUGGGGGGGUCUGAAGAUGUCCCAGGAGUGUCUUGGGGUGUCCAGGGGGUGCUCGUGUGGGUCUGGGGGGUCCUGGAGCCAUCCAGAAGGGUCUGGGGAUGGCCCAGAGAGGACUUGGAGGGUCUGGGGGGUCCUUUGGUGGGUUCAGAGGGUCCUGUUGUCUUCUGGAAGGGUCUGAAGAUGUCCCAGAAGUGUCUUGGGGUGUCCAGGGGGUGCUGCCACUGAGCCUCCCACUGUCCUAUGAGGGGACAAAAGGACCCCCCUGGGGGCAUUGCGUCAAAGUUGGGGACACUGUGAGCAGCUUGAGGACUUCCCAGGGGAAGUGGGGACACCGCGUCACUGUGUCACACCUCAAAGUUGGGGACACCCCCACCGUGUCACACCUCAAAGUUGGGGCAUCUCUGUGUCCCCCCGAUGGUGUCAGACCCCAAAGUUGGGGACACACCACAGUGUCACACCCCAAAGUUGGGGACACCCCCACAUGUUACACCCCAAAGUUGGGGUCUGUCCCAGAGGUGGGAGUGCCCCCACAGUCCCCACCAUGGCGUCACAUCCCAAAGUUGGGGACCCCCCUCUGGGGACCCAUUCUGUGCGCCCCCCAUUGCAGACUGCACUGUUCCCAUGGGGUGGGAGCGGGGGGCACCCUUUAUUUUUGGGAUUAAGGUUUAUUUCGUGAUAACGGGGGGUUGGGGGAUGCCCCCCCUACGUGAAUAGCAGGAAGAGGAGCGGCUGUGGGGCUCCGUGUGUCACACCGGGGAGUGCUUUGGGGACACUGCAGCAUCCCAGCCCCAUAGCCCCCAUGGCCCUAUAACCACUACAGCCCCAUCUCAUAGCCAUCCCAUAUCCAUAUCCCAUCCCAUAUCCCAUCCUGUAUCCAUAACCCUUCCAAUAUCCAAACCAUCAUAUCCAUCCCAAACCCAUACCCCAAAUCCAUCCCGUAUCCAUAUCCCAAAUCCAUCCCGUAUCCAAAUCCCAAAUCCAUCCCGUAUCCAUAUCCCAAAUCCAUCCCAUAUCCAUAGCCCAUCCCAUAUCCGUAUCCCAUCCCAUAUCUCAUCCCCUAUCCAUAUCCCAUCCCAACUCCAUGCCAAAUCUCUUUCUAUAUCCAUAUCACCUUAUCCAUCCCAUAACCAUCCCAAAUCCAUCUCAAAUCCAUAUCUCAUCCCAAACCGAUCCCAUCUCCUUAUCCAUCCCAUAUCAAUGUCCCAUCCCUUAUCCAAUCCCAUACCCCAUCCUAAAGCCAUCCCACAUCCAUACCCCCACAUCCCAUAUCCUAUCCCCAUCCUGUACCCCAUGUCCCAUAUCCAUUUCCAUCCCACAGCCUUCCUGAAUCCAUAUCCCCACAUCCAUCCCGUGUCCACCCCAUAUCCAUUCCAUAUACCUAUCCCAUCCUAUGAUCAUCCCAAUCCCAUCCCAUAUCCAUAUCCCGUCCCAACUCCACCCCAUAUCGUUCCCAUACCUUUGCCAAGUCUGUCCCGUACCCGUAUACCCACUUCCUGCAUCCCAACCCCAAUCCCAAUCCCACACCUCAUUCCCAAUCCCACAUGCCAAUCCCGUAUCCCGCAUCCCAAUCCCUAUCCCGAAUCCCAAUGCCAAUCCCACAUCCCAGCCCCAUGUACCAUCCGUCAAUCCAUCGCAAUCCCAAAUCUCAUAUCCCAGUCCUAACCCCAAUCCCACACCCCCAAUCCCAAUCCCACACCCCUAAUCCCAAUCCCAACCCCUAUUGCAAUAGGGCGCACUCCGGGCCCCCCCCGCAGCUCUAUCCCGCCCCCGGCCUCUCAUUGGUCAGAUGCAGCUCCGUCCCACCCCCGGCCUCUCAUUGGCUGAGGUGCAGCUCUAUCCCGCCGCCGGCCUCUCAUUGGCUGACGUGCAGCUUCGUCCCGCCCCCAUCCUCUCAGUGGUCAGACGCAGCUCCGUCCCGGCCCCGGACUCUCAUUGGCUGAGCCUGCAGUUCCAUCCUGCCUUCAGCCUCUCAUUGGUCAGGUGCAGCUCCUUCCCCUCCCCGGC
ensembl:lncRNA